AAUGACGUGGGAAUGUUGGGUCAUGGUUCUGUCUAAAGUAGCACUGGAGAGCGAGAGACAGUGGGGGACAGUAAGGGUGGAAAGAUGGGACUGAGCUGGUGUAAAACGUCCAGUCCGUGCUCCAGUCCCGGGCUGCUUGCUGACCGCUGCUGCGACGUCUGCUGCCAGUUGUGUCUGGACGGCUGCUGCAGUAUAUGUGCCCACGACUGCCGAUACACCUUCUGGUUCAUGUGCACCAGACUGGCCAGCUACUGCCUAGAUCUCAACAGCUCGGAGGAGUCCCCGAGAACCCAACGUACAGAACAUGCUCUGAAUGAAGAACAUGUCAUUUGGGUUGCUGAGGACGUGAGGAACUGAGGAGCUACAGUAUUUCUGGGAGCUGUUGGUCCAGAUGGAUGCUCAUCUCUCAGCUUUCACCUCUCUCUCUCUCUGUUUCUUUCUCUCUGUUUCUCUCUCUCUCUCUCUCUCUCUUUCUCUCUAUCUCUUUUUCUAUUCUCUAUCUCCCUGGAUUCAACACAAUUAAUUUAUGAACAUCUUCUAUGAACAUUCCUGAAGAGCUGAAGAGACUCAAAUACAGUAUUUCCUCUAUAAAUAUAAAAAAAAUACACUGUACAGUAAAUCUGUGUGACUUUACCUGGCCCUGUAAUAUAUAUAUGCAUACACUGUAUAUUUACUGUAUAUUGUAUAGUCACACUCUUUGUGGAUCUGAGGAUAAUAUCCGACUUACACUGCUCACACCUUUGGAAAUGAUUCCUCCUGCUUGCGUUCGCGCAGCUCCUUGGGAUGACCUACAAAUGAUGAAAGUGUUUUGUUUUUCUUUUCUGGCUGGUAAAGCAAGAGAACUCGUACGCAAGCUCCUCUGACAUGCGAGGACCUCAGAAAUGCGGCUGUUCGACAGGGACGGGCUGGAAAAACCUGAAUGCACACCCACGGGAGCGCACCGGCGCUCAUCUCCAGAUGAAAUUAGACAGGUGUUUGGUUCCAUUCUGUGAGUGAAAGAGGGCCACUGCCCCGAAGACUGGCUCUGUCAACAGCCGAGACAACAGGAAGACAGCUACAGCUCAAUCCCACACAGCCAGAAAAAAGGAAUAUAUAUCUUUUGCGAUCGUAUUCGGAGCACAUUUUGAAGGGUGGAAGAGGAGACAGCGCAGAAAGCUUGUGAGGCUGGAGCUGGGACGCCGGCCAUGGAGGAGGAUUAUAUGAAGCAGGGCCACCCCGACGUCGUUAGGCAGCAGCACACGAGCAACGUGGCCGCGGGCCAGUCAGCUGAUAAGAAGCGCUCGGAUUCCGGGCAGAACGGCUGCGUGCGGUGCUGCCUGCAGACCAAGAACUGCCUGAUGAGCCCAGAGUGCGGCCGAGCUCUCAGCAUCGCCAGUGUCAUCUCAACGUGCGGCAUGUGCAUCCGCAUGUGGACGUAGAUUUCCACUCAUUGAUGAAUCCAGACAAGUCUUCUGGUGGAGGCCACACUGGAAAAGAACAAAAAUCUAAAGGUUGCAUGACAAUGGAAUGUGUGCCAUCUAUACCAGCUCAGUACCACACCCUCACAUUAGGCCCCACCCUGCAUUUAUCACAGAGCUGCUAUUGUUCAAACCUGACGGGACACACCUGAACAUUCUAACCCAUUAUUUAACUCUGUAUGUAAGACCAACAUGUCUCCCACACUUUUAUUACCACAUUACUGUCAUAAUUAACUUUAUCUUAACUUUAUUUCAGAGGCUUCAGAAUAGAACUCUGUUUAAAAAUCUUUGUAUACUGACUUCCAUUGAAAGUUGAGGCCUUUUUUUUUCUUUCUUCUAUAAAGUUACAGUUAGGGGAUUAGGGGAUUGAUUGUGUAUUUGCUUGACUGUUUUUCAAUUUUUAAAGUUUGGCUUGAAUACAAAUAUGAGUAAAUAUAUUUCUGUUAGUCACAAAAAUCUUGUAUUAAAUUUUGUACUAAUUAAAAUUUUAGGCAUAAGCAUAAAAGUAUGACAAUUUCUUUACAUUGUGUCAAAAUGUCAUGAUGAAGCAACCAAUCGAAAUGCUCCAAAAUAAAUGAAAGUAAAACCCCUGUAUACUGACUUCAGUUGAACGUUUUCACCUGUAAAAUUGCUGAUGCAUCAUUUUUUUUGUACCAGACCACUAAAACAAUUUCAUUCCAAAAUUAUGGUUUGUUAACACAUUUAGCACAUUUGUUAGCACAUUUAUUUUAAAGGUUGACAUGGCUGAUCUAUUUUAAAGUAGCCAACUCUCAAUAAAUUUGACAUAUAUGUGACAAAUAUAAGUGUCUGUUAUACAAAAUGUUGUACUUCGAUCUUAGUUUUUUACUUUUUGAGCAUGAGACAAAAUACAUUGUAUAUAUAUAUAUAUAUAUAUAUAUAUAUAUAUAUAUAUAUAUAUAAUCCAACAUAACUUAUAUAAGCAAAUAUCUACACUGACUUCCAUUAAAAAGUUAAAAAAGAAA